rnacentral:rRNA from 1 species
UACGAAGGGGGCUAGCGUUGUUCGGAAUUACUGGGCGUAAAGCGCACGUAGGCGGACAUUUAAGUCAGGGGUGAAAUCCCAGAGCUCAACUCUGGAACUGCCUUUGAUACUGGGUGUCUUGAGUAUGGAAGAGGUGAGUGGAAUUCCGAGUGUAGAGGUGAAAUUCGUAGAUAUUCGGAGGAACACCAGUGGCGAAGGCGGCUCACUGGUCCAUUACUGACGCUGAGGCUCGAAAGCGUGGGGAGCAAACAGG